UAUGGAAUCUUCGGCAAUGGACGAAAGUCUGACCGAGCAACGCCGCGUGAGUGAAGAAGGUUUUCGGAUCGUAAAACUCUGUUGUUAGAGAAGAACAAGGACGUUAGUAACUGAACGUCCCCUGACGGUAUCUAACCAGAAAGCCACGGCUAACUACGUGCCAGCAGCCGCGGUAAUACGUAGGUGGCAAGCGUUGUCCGGAUUUAUUGGGCGUAAAGCGAGCGCAGGCGGUUUCUUAAGUCUGAUGUGAAAGCCCCCGGCUCAACCGGGGAGGGUCAUUGGAAACUGGGAGACUUGAGUGCAGAAGAGGAGAGUGGAAUUCCAUGUGUAGCGGUGAAAUGCGUAGAUAUAUGGAGGAACACCAGUGGCGAAGGCGGCUCUCUGGUCUGUAACUGACGCUGAGGCUCGAAAGCGUGGGGAGCAAACAGG
rnacentral:rRNA from 1 species